rnacentral:rRNA from 1 species
GAUGAACGCUAGCGGCAGGCUUAAUACAUGCAAGUCGAGGGGCAUCAAGGUACACGAAAGUGUAUUGUUGGCGACCGGCGGACGGGUGAGUAAUAGGUAGGUAACCUACCUCAUACUGAGGCAUAGCUGGGAGAAAUUCCAGGUAAUUCCUCAUGAGGUUAUAUGACACAUGUGAUAUAAUCAAAGGUAUCGCAAGGUACUGGUAUGAGAUGGGCUUACUGACCAUUAGCUAGUUGGUGAGAUAAGAGCUCACCAAGGCGAAGAUGGUUAGGGGUUUUGAGAGAGAGAUCCCCCACAUUGGGAACUGAGAUACGGUCCAGACUCCUACGGGAGGCAGCAGUAGGGAAUAUUGGGCAAUGGGCGGAAGCCUGACCCAGCCAUGCCGCGUGAAGGAAGACGGCCUUAUGGGUUGUAAACUUCUUUACUAUGCGACUAACUAGAUUUACGAGAUAAUUCUAUAGAAUGUAGCAUAGCAAAAAGCACCGGACC